rnacentral:tRNA from 1 species
GGGCUGGGGCUCAGUGGCAGAGCUCUUGCGUAGCAUGCAUGGGGUGCUGGGUUCAAUCCUCAGCACCACA